GUAGGUGGCAAGCGUUGUCCGGAAUUACUGGGCGUAAAGCGCGCGCAGGCGGUUCUUUAAGUCUGAUGUGAAAGCCCACGGCUCAACCGUGGAGGGUCAUUGGAAACUGGAGAACUUGAGUACAGAAGAGGAAAGCGGAAUUCCACGUGUAGCGGUGAAAUGCGUAGAGAUGUGGAGGAACACCAGUGGCGAAGGCGGCUUUCUGGUCUGUAACUGACGCUGAGGCGCGAAAGCGUGGGGAGCAAACAGAAUUAGAUACCCUGGUAGUCCACGCCGUAAACGAUGAGUGCUAAGUGUUAGGGGGUUUCCGCCCCCUUAGUGCUGCAGCUAACGCAUUAAGCACUCCGCCUGGGGAUACGGCCGCAAGGCUG
rnacentral:rRNA from 1 species